rnacentral:lncRNA from 1 species
UAAAACCUCAUCUGACAGAUCUUAACCUCAUUUUUUAGUUAAAUCAGACCCACUAUUGAGUAUAAGUGAAGCCGUCAUUGGACCCUUAUCUGACAGAUCUUGGGCCAAACUCUAUCUCCAUCCACUACAAAUAGAGUGUUUGCUUCUCUCUUGAUGUAACUGAACCACUGUAUUUAGUUGAGAAUAAUCAAGAUCGGAAAUGGCAUGGUACUUUAUAAUGGUGGAAGAUCUCUCGACUUAAUAUUAUUGAGGAGGUUUUAUUUAGGUCUCUUUAAUCCUAAUUAGUCAUAACUGUUAUGACUAAUCUUAAAGGCAUGGGCUAGCUCAAUUCACUAAGCAACCACAUCAAGACUAAUCAACCAAAUUGGCCAGAAAAAUGUAAGA